rnacentral:RNase_P_RNA from 1 species
GAGGAAAGUCCGAACACUACAGGGCAGCGGACUGGUUAACGGCCAGGCGGGGCAACCCGACGACAAGUGCAACAGAGAACAGACCAGCCGAUGGCCCCAGGGCGUGAGCGCUCGCGGGGCACAGGUGAUGGGUGAAACGGUGGGGCCUCUUCGGGGGCUUAAUGUAAGAGCCCACCAGCGCGGGUGGUGACACUCUGCGGCUAGGCAAACUCUCCGCGGUGCAAGACCAAAUAGGGAGGCGUCAACAGGGCUGCCCGCCCGAAGCGCAAAGAUGCGCGUCAGCGCGUCUCGGCGCUACGACCUCCGGGUAGGUCGCUCGAGCGAGCGGAGUAAUCCGCCGCCUAGAUGAAUGACCGUCGCUGCCUUCUGGCGCGCCCUCACGCGACCUGGUCGCUUGAAGGGCCGCCCGAAGCAGUACAGAAUUCGGCUUACAGACCCGCUCCAAUG